rnacentral:ncRNA from 1 species
CCACCCGUGUCACCGGGUGAAUCUAGAAGGCUGAAUCAAGAGCGCCUUCGACAAUGGAACGAGGCAUCGCAAGGUGCGGGGUACCAAUCGUGAGAGGCGUAGGAACCUUGAGCCUUCCGUCAAGAGCGCAU